rnacentral:rRNA from 1 species
CUGGCGGUUAAAAAGCUCGUAGUUGGAUCUCAGUUCCAGACGAGUAGUGCAUCUACCCGAUGCGACGGCUCGGACUGAACAUCAUGCCGGUUCUUUCUUGGUGCACUUCAUUGUUUGGGCCCCGAGGAAAAUGGGGGGCCCGGGGUGCGCUUUUACUUUGAAAAAAGAAAAAAUUAGAGUGCUCAACGCAGGCGAGUCGCCUGAAUAAACUUGCAUGGAAUAAUAGAACAAGACCUCGUUUCUGUUCUGUUGGUUUUUGGAAUACGAGGUAAUGAUUAAGAGGGACGGACGGGGGCAUUCGUAUUGCGGCGCUAGAGGUGAAAUUCUUGGACCGUCGCAACGAAAAAAUAUGCGGUGAAAGCAUUUGCCAAGAAUGUUUUCAUUGAUCAAGAACGAAAGUCAGAGGUUCGAAGGCGAUCAGAUACCGCCCUAGUUCUGACCAUAAACGAUGCCAACCAGCGAUCCGCCUGAGUUACUCAAAUGACUCGGCGGGCAGCUUCCGGGAAACCAAAGUAUUUGGGUUCCGGGGGAAGUAUGGUUGCAAAGCUGAAACUUAAAGGAAUUGACGGAAGGGCACCACCAGGAGUGGAGCCUGCGGCUUAAUUUGACUCAACACGGGAAAACUUACCCGGCCCGGACACUGGGAGGAUUGACAGAUUGAGAGCUCUUUCUUGAUUCGGUGGAUGGUGGUGCAUGGCCGUUCUUAGUUGGUGGAGCGAUUUGUCUGGUUAAUUCCGAUAACGAACGAGACUCUAGCCUAUUAAAUAGGUGCGGGGUUCCCAGCACCUUACAACCUUCUUAGAGGGACAAGCGGCUCCUAGCCGCACGAAACAGAGCAAUAACAGGUCUGUGAUGCCCUUAGAUGUCCGGGGCCGCACGCGCGCUACACUGAAGGAAGCAGCGUGUCUUUAUCCCUGUCUGAAAAGACUGGGUAACCCGUGGAACUUCUUUCGUGAUUGGGAUAGGGGCUUGCAAUUGUUCCCCUUGAACGAGGAAUUCCCAGUAAGCGCGAGUCAUAAGCUCGCGUUGAUUACGUCCCUGCCCUUUGUACACACCGCCCGUCGCUACUACCGAUUGAAUGAUUUAGUGAGGUCUUCGGACCGAUGUCCGGCGCGGCCUUUCGGUUGCGCCGGUCUGUUGGAAAGAUGACCAAACUUGAUCAUUUAGAGGAAGUAAAAGUCGUAACAAGGUUUCCGUAGGUGAACCUGCGGAAG